ACCAAGUAAUGUUGCAUCAGG
rnacentral:misc_RNA from 1 species